UACGGAGGGUGCAAGCGUUAUCCGGAUUUACUGGGUUUAAAGGGUGCGUAGGUGGGUCUGUAAGUCAGUGGUGAAAUCUCCGGGCUUAACCCGGAAACUGCCAUUGAUACUAUAGGUCUUGAAUUAUCUGGAGGUGAGCGGAAUAUGUCAUGUAGCGGUGAAAUGCUUAGAUAUGACAUAGAACACCAAUUGCGAAGGCAGCUCACUACGGAUAUAUUGACACUGAGGCACGAAAGCGUGGGGAUCGAACAGG
rnacentral:rRNA from 1 species